rnacentral:rRNA from 1 species
CUGGCUCAGAACGAACGUUAGCGGCGCGCCUAACACAUGCAAGUCGAGCGAGAAAGGGGCAACCCCGGUAAAGCGGCGCACGGGUGAGUAACACGUAGGUAAUCUACCCUCGGGUGGAGGAUAACUUUCCGAAAGGAAGGCUAAUACUGCAUGAGACCACGAUUCCGGAAGGGAUUGAGGUCAAAGCCGGCCACUGUACACAAGCUGGCGCCUGAGGAUGAGCCUGCGGCCCAUCAGCUAGUUGGUAGGGUAAUGGCCUACCAAGGCGAAGACGGGUAGCUGGUCUGAGAGGAUGAUCAGCCACACUGGAACUGAGACACGGUCCAGACUCCUACGGGGAGGCAGCAGUGGGGAAUCUUGCGCAAUGGGCGAAAGCCUGACGCAGCGACGCCGCGUGAGUGAUGAAGGCCUCGGUUGGUUAAGACGUCUGUUGGAGGGGGACGGGAAGUAAGGGACGUGGCGUACAU